CGACUCUCGGCAACGGAUAUCUCGGCUCACGCAUCGAUGAAGAACGUAGCAAAAUGCGAUACUUGGUGUGAAUUGCAGAAUCCCGUGAACCAUCGAGUUUUUGAACGCAAGUUGCGCCCGAAGCCUUUUGGCCAAGGGCACGUCUGCCUGGGCGUCACACA
rnacentral:rRNA from 1 species